CCCCCUUCACAUGGAGUGAGGCCUUUUCUAAUAUAGGAAGAAUCAGCUUCAGAGGGUCCAAAAAUUGGGCUCUGGAGGCCCAGAAAUCACCACCAUCGAUUUGCAUUAUUGAGGUCACACGCUGGUACCUGUGCGUACGCAGACAUACUGAUUUUCUUCUUGUGCGUAC